ensembl:snRNA U2 U2 spliceosomal RNA
AUCGCUUCUCGGCCUUUUGGCUAAGAUCAAGUGUAACUUUAUUUUACCUAUCUAUCUACCUACCUAUCUUUUAACCAUCUACUUACCUUUUUAUCUUUCUAUUUAUUUUAGUUUUUGGAGAUAGGGUUUUUCUGUGUAGCCCAGGCUGUUCUGGAACUCACUAAGUAGAUCAGGCUAGCCUCAAACUUAGAGAUCC